AGAGUUUGAUCCUGGCUCAGGACGAACGCUGGCGGCGUGCCUAACACAUGCAAGUCGAGCGGAGACAGUGAGUAGCUUGCUAUGAGCUGUUUUAGCGGCGGACGGGUGAGUAACGCGUGAGCAACCUUUCCCAGACAGGGGAAUAACACACCGAAAGGUGUACUAAUACCGCAUAAGACCACGGGAUCGCAUGGUUCUGAGGUAAAAGAUUUAUCGGUUUGGGGUGGGCUCGCGUCCGAUUAGGUAGUUGGUGAGGUAACGGCCCACCAAGCCGACGAUCGGUAGCCGACCUGAGAGGGUGAUCGGCCACAUUGGGACUGAGACACGGCCCAAACUCCUACGGGAGGCAGCAGUGGGGAAUAUUGCACAAUGGGGGAAACCCUGAUGCAGCGACGCCGCGUGAGCGAAGAAGUAUUUCGGUAUGUAAAGCUCUAUCAGCAGGGAAGAUAAUGACGGUACCUGACUAAGAAGCCCCGGCUAACUACGUGCCAGCAGCCGCGGUAAUACGUAGGGGGCAAGCGUUGUCCGGAAUAAUUGGGCGUAAAGGGCGCGUAGGCGGCUCGGUAAGUCUGGAGUGAAAGUCCUGCUUUUAAGGUGGGAAUUGCUUUGGAUACUGUCGGGCUUGAGUGCAGGAGAGGUUAGUGGAAUUCCCAGUGUAGCGGUGAAAUGCGUAGAGAUUGGGAGGAACACCAGUGGCGAAGGCGACUAACUGGACUGUAACUGACGCUGAGGCGCGAAAGUGUGGGGAGCAAACAGGAUUAGAUACCCUGGUAGUCCACACU
rnacentral:rRNA from 1 species